UCGACUUUAUUUAUCGAUAUGGCGAUAAAAAAAUUAUUAAGAAAUAUAUUCUACGUCUUUGUAGACGACAUGUGCGAAAAUAUAAAUUGCUGCGUAUCGUUUCAAUGACAUUAUUCAGGAACCAUAUUGAAUACACUUCUGUCACGAGUUACCUUAUUCAUUAUAAAUUAUUCAACGUCCUUCGUUAUAAUUUGUAUAACUAAGUGCACAUUAUUGAAAUAGUGUGUUAUGUAUGUGUUACCUUAUACUUGAAGACUUCUACGUACCUGACCAAUAAAGUCUGGUUUAGCCUUCAUUUUGUCUAAAAGUAACUUUCCGAUGUUCGUGUAUUCCGUGGAUAAAGAUACUUCUUUGCCUUUUAAUAUAUAAUCUUUUAUAGUGAAAUCACUCUGAAAUAAUCGAUUGAAAUGAUUGAUUUCGGAUACGUCGACUUAAAAAUGUCGCUCAUAUUACUAAAAUUUUUUUAUUUUAACGACAUAACGAACAACUAUCCUUCUCAAAAUUUGGAUAGUAUGGAAAAUGAAACUUAAUUGAAAAAUUUUCUUGAACGCUUACAUUUAUCAAUUUAUCGAUCUCCAUGAUUAUCGAUGGUAUACUUUUUACCGCUAUAUUUCACAGAUAUAUAUUCACUCAGCUAUGUUAUAAUAUCUUUAAGCGAUUUCACCAUUAAAAGAACGAUUAAACCAAGACCUUUGAUAUCGGAGGAAGACUCGAGGAGAUAUAAGACUCGACUGUCCACAAAAUUUGGUGUUUUUUUGUGAAAAAUACAUUACGAUAACUGAA